GGACCCGUAGCCUAGCCUGGAUAAGGCGUCAGCCUUCUAAGCUGAAGAUCGGGGGUUCAAAUCCCCUCGGGUCCG
rnacentral:tRNA from 1 species